rfam:Brachypodium distachyon strain Bd21 chromosome 2, whole genome shotgun sequence.
AACAUACUCCCUCCGUCCCAUAUUAAGUGACUUUCUAUUACAUGUAUCUAGACGUAUUUUAGUAUAUAGAUACGUCCAUAUUUAGACAAAUUUGAGUCACUUAUAAUUGGAAGGAGGGAGUAUUAG